GGAGGAGGUGGAGGUGGUGGGGGAGGUGGAGGAGGUGGAGGACGAGGUGGUGGAGGAGUUGGAAUCUGUUUCAAGAAUAAAAGAGAUCGCAAAGUCAUCUGUGUAGAUCCCAAGGCUGAUUCUGUCCGCCUGAGUCUCCGCUCUCCACUCUACCUUCAGGCCGUCAUCUUUGACCACGUGACUCGUCGCAAGGCAUGAUGGGAAUCAAAAGUCUACAAUACAGUCUUUACCACACACAGUCAAUAAUAUAGCAUAUGAUACAUACAGUCAAUACCACGGUCUAUAAGACUCAUAAUUUAUUCUACAUUCAGUGUAUACUACAGGCUAUACCACAUACAGUCUAUACGAUAGAGUGCCAGUAUACUGUAGUCAUGUAUAGCCUGUAAUGUGUACAAUAAAGUCUAUACUGGCAUACAGUCUCUAAUCUACAGUCUAAUAAAUAGUCUCUAAUCUA